AAGAAAGUGACUGCCGCCCCGCACAGGGGCAACGCCAAUAGACCGACACGAAAACAGGAUUUCACAGAAAGCCCAGGCAAGCGGCCAGCUCCCA
rnacentral:sRNA from 1 species